CAGCAGCCACGGUAAUACGAAGGGUGCAAGCGUUAAUCGGAAUUACUGGGCGUAAAGCGUGCGUAGGCGGUGAGUUAAGUCUGCUGUGAAAUCCCCGGGCUCAACCUGGGAAUGGCAGUGGAUACUGGCUCGCUAGAGUGUGUCAGAGGAUGGUGGAAUUCCCGGUGUAGCGGUGAAAUGCAUAGAGAUCGGAAGGAACAUCUGUGGCGAAGGCGACUAUCUGGGCCAACACUGACACUGAGGCACGAAAGCGUGGGGAGCAAACAGGAUUAGAUACCCCCGUAGUCCCUGUCUCUUAUAC
rnacentral:rRNA from 1 species